CUCGAGCCGAGAGAAGACAAAUCAAAGGGAAAUCUAAUCUAUCGUCGAAAUUGCAUUAGUUGUCCGUGGCGGUUGUUAUAGAUAUGUCUUGCGUAACACUGUAUCGCAGACACUCUUUCAUAAGAUGACAUAUUUGUGAUGUUUCGAAUUUCAAACGUAUCGAUGACGACGUUUUGUGAACAUUGCAAAAUAAAUUUUGAACGAUUGAGGCCUGAAGCAUCAGAAAUCACAAAAAAUGACAUACCAUUAACUGGGAACAAGAACAUGGCAAUUUCCAUCUUUUUAUUAUUUAUAUUACUUUCACUUCCGGAUUUGUACUAUUCAUAUAAAUAUUCGUUUAAAUAUCUG
rnacentral:misc_RNA from 1 species